rnacentral:rRNA from 1 species
CCUACGGGAGGCAGCAGUGGGGAAUUUUGGACAAUGGGCGCAAGCCUGAUCCAGCAAUGCCGCGUGAGUGAAGAAGGCCUUCGGGUUGUAAAGCUCUUUUGUCAGGGAAGAAACGGCUGAGGUUAAUACCUUUGGCUAAUGACGGUACCUGAAGAAUAAGCACCGGCUAACUACGUGCCAGCAGCCGCGGUAAUACGUAGGGUGCAAGCGUUAAUCGGAAUUACUGGGCGUAAAGCGUGCGCAGGCGGUUUUGUAAGUCUGACGUGAAAUCCCCGGGCUCAACCUGGGAAUUGCGUUGGAGACUGCAAGGCUGGAGUCUGGCAGAGGGGGGUAGAAUUCCACGUGUAGCAGUGAAAUGCGUAGAGAUGUGGAGGAACACCGAUGGCGAAGGCAGCCCCCUGGGUCAAGACUGACGCUCAUGCACGAAAGCGUGGGGAGCAAACAGGAUUAGAUACCCUGGUAGUCCACGCCCUAAACGAUGUCUACUAGUUGUCGGGUCUUAAUUGACUUGGUAACGCAGCUAACGCGUGAAGUAGACCGCCUGGGGAGUACGGUCGCAAGAUUAAAACUCAAAGGAAUUGACG